CGGUGCUAAAGAUUUCAUAUUUGCGAUAUAACCAAAAAGAUUUUAAUCAUCAUUUUACAAGUGUAUACAAAUAAUUUUGUUACCUAAUCAAAGCCUUUGGCAUAGAAACAAAUAAGAAAACAGCAAAACUCUUCCCUCUCCUCCCUUUCCUUUUUUGUCCAAGUAAUAAAGAGACAAGCACCACUUCAAUUACACCACCGACGGUCUUGCUUGUUCCGAUUAGCAACAUUGUACAUACAUCAUACUUUUAAGGUUGCUCUAUUCAGGCCAAUACAGGAAACCAUUACUUUCCAGGUGGGCUUUUUGUGGCUUUGGUUUCCAACUAUCUUUUGGUUUCUUUCGUAGUAAAAAGAAAAUGGCGAAUGUGUUAGCUAUGGUGUUGGAUGGUUUGAAAUUGUUCGUUCGGACGAUUUGGGGUCUGCAAGAGCGACGCUUCUCUGUCACUUUCAAUGCUGUGAGCUCUGCUGUGGUGUCCAUGACAAUGGCAUUUGCUUUCUGCUUCUUAACCAUUCACAGAUAUAGACGAGCAGGAAUAAGAUUUGCCUUCUUUGAUUUUCCCUUCUCAACAAUGUGCUUACUCUGUUGGUUGGUUUAGCUUUUAUUUUUGGCUGGUUUUAGUAAUUGUCUAUAUAUUAAAAAUAAUGCAACUAUGGUAGCCUUAGAGGUAUGCAUGAUUUCCUUAAUAAUGUGGACUGAAUCAUUAAUAUAAUGCAUCUAUGGUAGCUAUUUUAGUUUGUAUUCUUUUGCUCAUUUGUACCAAGAUUUUCUCUCUGACUUUGAAAAUGAGAUUCUUGCUUCUCAAA